UGACCGCUGGCGGCGUGCCUAAUACAUGCAAGUAGAACGCUGAAGCUUGGUGCUUGCACCGAGCGGAUGAGUUGCGAACGGGUGAGUAACGCGUAGGUAACCUGCCUCUUAGCGGGGGAUAACUAUUGGAAACGAUAGCUAAUACCGCAUAAAAGUCGAUAUCGCAUGAUAUUGAUUUGAAAGGUGCAAAUGCAUCACUAAGAGAUGGACCUGCGUUGUAUUAGCUAGUUGGUGAGGUAACGGCUCACCAAGGCGACGAUACAUAGCCGACCUGAGAGGGUGAGCGGCCACACUGGGACUGAGACACGGCCCAGACUCCUACGGGAGGCAGCAGUAGGGAAUCUUCGGCAAUGGGGGCAACCCUGACCGAGCAACGCCGCGGGAGUGAAGAAGGUUUUCGGAUCGUAAAGCUCUGUUGUAAGAGAAGAACGAGUGUGAGAGUGGAAAGUUCACACUGUGACGGUAACUUACCAGAAAGGGACGGCUAACUACGUG
rnacentral:rRNA from 1 species